rnacentral:lncRNA from 1 species
CACUGAUUGAAGUGGAUUUAACAGGUGAUAUCAAUGAAGGAUCAUAGCUUCACUUGAAUUCACCUGGUCAGUCUAUGUCAUGGAAAGAGCAUGAUUUGUACACUCAGUUUAUGUCAACAAUCCUUUCUCUAACGGACCAUUCUAUGGAUUAUAUUUAGUGAAAAUCCCCAAAAGUUCUGUAUUUAUUUGGUUCUAGUUUCAUGAGGAAUCACCCCGUGCUUUGUCCACACAGGCCCAGCAGUAGAGAUACCAGUGUUUACUCUGUUUGGUGAGGGGAGGAGCAUGGCGAAAGCCCAGAAGUUCUGCAGGGAGUACUAUGAGGAACUGGCCACCAUCUUCAAUGCUGAGGACCAGAUAGCAGCUCUGAGAGCAGUGUCAGCACACAGCCUCACUGACGCUGUCUGGGUCCACCGCCAGUACCACGCCUUCUGGCCCAAACUGGGCUAUUGGAAUCCACCAAAUGCAAAGUGUGUUGUUCAUGGACAAAGAGCAAAAGUAUGGGGUUUGAGAGAUUGCACAAAUCCAUGUCAAUUUGUGUGCCAGAAAAGCACACAUUCAAACAAUUCCUCAGAGCUUAAAUAUUACAUGGGUCAAGGUUUAUUGACGUGGGAGGGGGCACAGAUGGCUUGCCGAGCCGAUGGAGAUGACUUAGCGAGAAUCCUCACCCAAGAGGAUUACACAGCAUUCCAAAGCAUAACAAAGACACAGUGGUAUGAUAUGUGGAUCGGACUCUACUGGAACACCUCUACCAGAAUGUGGCAGUGGUCCAAUGGGGACUCCUUUCCAUACUGUGUGUCUGAACCUCAACUGGGUGCUAGUAACUGUUGCUCCCUGACCCGUAAGGGCCAUGGACAGACUGAACACGCCUCCCUGGACAAGAUAGACUGCACUCUGAAGAGACCGUUCCUUUGCACUGGAAAAAAGAGAAUGAAGCAGACCAUUGUAAGGAUGUCUCUGAAAUCUAACUCAGGAGCUGACCUCAAUGACCCAGUGGUAAAGGAACAGAUGUUGGAGCAGAUCAGAAAUCAGCUGGCCAAGAACGGGAACUUCAUCCUAGACCUAUCCUGGAGAGAACUGCCUAAUGGAGAUGUUUUUCGCAAGACAGUUGAACUUGAAAGCCCUGAAGAAGGUCACUGUGGGUCUGGAUGAAGAGGACCAGCCAUGAUGCUGUAGCAGGAAAUGGAUGGAAGGUCCAAGAAAACUAAAAUAGUCAAGCUCUCUGUAAAUAACCCUUGUACCUAAUAAUAUAUUACCGUAUAUAAAUAACAUUAUCUUAGUUCACGGACAAUGUUUUUUCUUUAAUGAUUGAUAGCUUUAUGCUUUUGAAUGAGAAAUAGGAUGUCAAGUUAUGUUAGGCUAGUUUUAAACUCUACAAUGUUUUACUAUUGUAACAUCAAAUUAUAAUCUAAGAUUUUUGUUGGUGUAUGAAUGUAAUGUAAUAAUAAUGUUUGUUGUACAUAAGGGCAAUUUGAUUCAUGAAGAGAAGAGGAGUAAAACGGACAUUUGUGUUUGUUCAAGUUUGUAGUUUAAACAUGCAUAGUAACACGUUUUAGUGAGGGAUUUUCAUAGUGUAUAAUUCUUCAUAAUGAUGUUACAAACUCACUUAUGGAUGUAACUGUUGACAUUCUUAAAUAAAAUAUGUUUGAUUAGUGA